UCCAUGCAGUCGAACGAUGAACCCGAAGCUUGCUUUGGGGGAUUAGUGGCGAACGGGUGAGUAACACGUGAGCAACCUGCCCCUCACUCUGGGAUAAGCGCUGGAAACGGCGUCUAAUACUGGAUACGAGACGCGACCGCAUGGUCAGUGUCUGGAAAGAUUUUUUGGUGGGGGAUGGGCUCGCGGCCUAUCAGCUUGUUGGUGAGGUAAUGGCUCACCAAGGCGUCGACGGGUAGCCGGCCUGAGAGGGUGACCGGCCACACUGGGACUGAGACACGGCCCAGACUCCUACGGGAGGCAGCAGUGGGGAAUAUUGCACAAUGGGCGGAAGCCUGAUGCAGCAACGCCGCGUGAGGGAUGACGGCCUUCGGGUUGUAAACCUCUUUUAGCAGGGAAGAAGCGAAAGUGACGGUACCUGCAGAAAAAGCACCGGCUAACUACGUGCCAGCAGCGGCCCGGUAAUA
rnacentral:rRNA from 1 species